ACGGGGGGAGCAAACGUUGUUCGGAAUCACUGGGCGUAAAGGGCGCGUAGGCGGCGUGUUAAGUCAGCUGUGAAAUCUCCGAGCUUAACUCGGAACGGUCAGCUGAUACUGAUGUGCUAGAGUGCAGAAGGGGCAAUCGGAAUUCUUGGUGUAGCGGUGAAAUGCGUAGAUAUCAAGAGGAACACCUGAGGUGAAGACGGGUUGCUGGGCUGACACUGACGCUGAUGCGCGAAAGCCAGGGGAGCAAACGGGA
rnacentral:rRNA from 1 species